UCAAGUAUUUGAAGACUGGAG
rnacentral:miRNA from 1 species